UACGUAGGGUGCGAGCGUUGUCCGGAAUUACUGGGCGUAAAGAGCUCGUAGGUGGUUUGUCGCGUUGUUCGUGAAAACUCACAGCUUAACUGUGGGCGUGCGGGCGAUACGGGCAGACUAGAGUACUGCAGGGGAGACUGGAAUUCCUGGUGUAGCGGUGAAAUGCGCAGAUAUCAGGAGGAACACCGGUGGCGAAGGCGGGUCUCUGGGCCGAAACUGACGCUGAGGCACGAAGGUCAGGGGAGCAAACGGG
rnacentral:rRNA from 1 species